UGGUCUACCCAUGCACAUAGAGUUGUGGUGGUGGAUUGUUCAUCGAGUUGAUGCAAUCUUGCUAGAUCCACCCCACAGAGACGAAGGGUAGUCCUAAUCUCGAGGGGUGAAGAUGUUCGAUAGAACCGUGAAGGAAUAGGUCCUUCUUUAGCCGAGUGGCUGGUGAUGUUGGUGUGUGGGGUCAUGAGUAUUGACUCACACUACCACCGAGGUUUGUAAAGUUGUA
rnacentral:lncRNA from 1 species